AUUGUCCCGCUUGGAGAAGGGAAGGGCAAGGAGCUUUCUGAGGCUAUUGUUCCAAGAAUAACUCUGAUUAUUCUUUCUCUCUCUCUCAUGUUCUUUCAGAUCAGAAUAAAUGUACUUGAGCUCUAGAAAAAGGACUCAAAUUAGACCUGCAAAUAUUUCCCAGAGUUAAGGGGACAGGGAGCUAGAAGGUGGUGACCACCUCGGGCCAGAGCUGCAAAAUUUGGAGGCUAAGUAGGGACUCCAAGGGUCCAAGCAGGAAGUCCCUAAUUGCAAAGUGACAGGCAUCAGGGAGUGGGUGGGGGCAUCUCUAAAACCAGCACCUAUGACUCAGACUCCUUCAUAAACAUCCAGAACUAAAGAUGGGCAUUCAGCUGUGGCCCAGAAGAGCCACACUCUCCUCAGACCAAGCCCUUUGGCCCACAUCCUUAGUGACCCAUGGAACUCAGUUUCCCAUCAGUAAUCAGAAGGGUUGUAUUAGUCAGGCUUCUCUAGAGGAACAGAAUCAACAGGAAGUAUAAUUGUAACAGGAAGACUUAUUAGGUUGGCUUAAGCCACCAGAAGCUGGAUAGUCCACAAUGGCCGUCUGCAGGCUGCAGAGCUGGGACAACCAGUAGCUGCUCAGUCCAAGAGGCUGAAGCUCCAGAACAAGAGGGAUCAACCGUGAUACUCUAGUCUGAGACCAAAGGCUUCUGGAGAAUCCGCUUUGGAAGAGUGAAGAAAGGAGAGUCUGAUAUUCUCAGCCGGUGACAGGGUGACAGCUGCAAUCAAGAACCUGUUCAAGAAGAAUUGAGCUUACAUCUCCUGCAUCUUUGUUUCAUCUUUCAUCUGAUGCAUCUUUGUUCUUCCAAUUUGCAUUCCAUCCAAGCCAUCAUCCUAUUGGUGGGUACUGCCCAUGCUUAGGGAGGGUCUUCAUUUCAGUUGGCUAUUCCACAUGCCAGUCAUUCCUAGACACACCCUAAUGACACACCCAUAAUCCUAUUAAUCCUUGGUAUCUCUUAAUCCAAUCAAGUUGACAACUCAAAUUAACCAUUAAAGGGGUUUGCACUACAUGGCCUCUGAGGGACUUCCCAGCUCUGAGCCCAGGAUUGAGAGUUUAACCCGCUGGGCUGUGUGGAAUAUCUGAAGAGGACCAGAGAGUAAGAGACCCAGGGAGCUGUGUAGGAGGCUGAAUCCUGGGCCUUCCCAGGCCACUAGGCCAGAAUCUGCAUUUUAACAAGUUCACUCUGAAACCUGAGACCACACUGACCUUUUGUGGUCCCUGAAACAUGACUGACUGUAGCACCUGCUGUUCCCUUUGCUGAAUCCUUUCCCCCAGAGCUGCUCUGCCUGUUACCCUCUGCCCUGUUUCACUCAGGUCUCUGCCCAAACAAACAUCUCCUUCAGAGAGGUGUUUCCUGACCACCUUUUCUAACAACAAAUAACAUCUAAUUUUGUAGUGUAGUAUAUCCCAUGCAAUAUUUGUGAAAUAGUUAUAGUAAAAAAAUCAGUUGUCAUUGAUAUGAAAUUUAAAUGUAAUUGGACAUCCUGGGUCCUUCUCUUCUUCCUCCUUUUGAUGCUGGGGAUUGAACCCAGGGCCUCAUGCAUGUAAGCAUGUGCUCUACACCCCCAGCCCAAAGAGUUAGGGUCUUGGGCUGGGGUUGUGGCUCAGUGGUAGAGCACUGGCCUUACCCGUGUGAGGCACGGGGUUCGAUCCUGAGCACCACAUAAAUAUAUAAAAUAAAGGUAUUGUGUCCAGCUACAAUUAAAAAUUUAAAAACAAAACAGAUAAUGUUUUGCUGUGUUGUCCCAGGCUGGCCUCAAAUCCCUGGGCUCAUCGAUCCUCCUGCCUCAGUCUCCUGAAUAGCUGGUUCUACAGGCACACGCCACCACGUUCAGCUUGUCCUAUAUUUUUAUUCGGUAAAUUUGGCAACCCUAAGUCAGUGGGGCUUUCUGUACUUCAAUCCCCUGACAGUAGGCAGAUGUUAGUUGGAGUCCCCAGGGCAGCAUAGAGGAUGGUGGCAGCUCUCCUGCACACUCUGUCCUCUGCUCCCACAAAGAUGCC
rnacentral:lncRNA from 1 species